GAUGAACGCUGGCGGCGUGCCUAAUACAUGCAAGUCGAGCGAACGGACGAGAAGCUUGCUUCUCUGAUGUUAGCGGCGGACGGGUGAGUAACACGUGGAUAACCUACCUAUAAGACUGGGAUAACUUCGGGAAACCGGAGCUAAUACCGGAUAAUAUUUUGAACCGCAUGGUUCAAAAGUGAAAGACGGUCUUGCUGUCACUUAUAGAUGGAUCCGCGCUGCAUUAGCUAGUUGGUAAGGUAACGGCUUACCAAGGCAACGAUGCAUAGCCGACCUGAGAGGGUGAUCGGCCACACUGGAACUGAGACACGGUCCAGACUCCUACGGGAGGCAGCAGUAGGGAAUCUUCCGCAAUGGGCGAAAGCCUGACGGAGCAACGCCGCGUGAGUGAUGAAGGUCUUCGGAUCGUAAAACUCUGUUAUUAGGGAAGAACAUAUGUGUAAGUAACUGUGCACAUCUUGACGGUACCUAAUCAGAAAGCCACGGCUAACUACGUGCCAGCAGCCGCGGUAAUACGUAGGUGGCAAGCGUUAUCCGGAAUUAUUGGGCGUAAAGCGCGCGUAGGCGGUUUUUUAGUCUGAUGUGAAAGCCCACGGCUCAACCGUGGAGGGUCAUUGGAAACUGGAAAACUUGAGUGCAGAAGAGGAAAGUGGAAUCCCAUGUGUAGCGGUGAAAUGCGCAGAGAUAUGGAGGAACACCAGUGGCGAAGGCGACUUUCUGGUCUGUAACUGACGCUGAUGUGCGAAAGCGUGGGGAUCAAACAGGAUUAGAUACCCUGGUAGUCCACGCCGUAAACGAUGAGUGCUAAGUGUUAGGGGGUUUCCGCCCCUUAGUGCUGCAGCUAACGCAUUAAGCACUCCGCCUGGGGAGUACGACCGCAAGGUUGAAACUCAAAGGAAUUGACGGGGACCCGCACAAGCGGUGGAGCAUGUGGUUUAAUUCGAAGCAACGCGAAGAACCUUACCAAAUCUUGACAUCCUUUGACAACUCUAGAGAUAAAGCCCUCCCCUUCGGGGGACAAAGUGACAGGUGGUGCAUGGUUGUCGUCAGCUCGUGUCGUGAGAUGUUGGGUUAAGUCCCGCAACGAGCGCAACCCUUAAGCUUAGUUGCCAUCAUUAAGUUGGGCACUCUAAGUUGACUGCCGGUGACAAACCGGAGGAAGGUGGGGAUGACGUCAAAUCAUCAUGCCCCUUAUGAUUUGGGCUACACACGUGCUACAAUGGACAAUACAAAGGGCAGCGAAACCGCGAGGUCAAGCAAAUCCCAUAAAGUUGUUCUCAGUUCGGAUUGUAGUCUGCAACUCGACUACAUGAAGCUGGAAUCGCUAGUAAUCGUAGAUCAGCAUGCUACGGUGAAUACGUUCCCGGGUCU
rnacentral:rRNA from 1 species